CUUGAAAGUAAAAUAUAAAUUGCCCUGUUUGUUAGGUGUCACAGUAUUAAUAUAUAUUUCGUGUUGGUGCUCUUAGAUUGGUGACAUGAAUCAUGGAAUAUAAAUGUGUUGUGUUUACCCUUAAUAUUGUUAUUUCUUCCUUUAACCUUGUAUUUAGAAGCGCUUAUAAGUCACAGUCAUAUAAAGGUAUUGAUAAGAAGAUUGUCUCGGACACCACGACUUUGAUGGUCAUACAUAGAGCGCUGUGCUCUGUCGCAAGCUGGGUAAAGGUAUUUUCUGAUUUCGUACAAAAUUAUUAUUUACGGGAUAUAUUUUUCAACUAUCGUAUUAACUAGUAAUCUUAUGUAUGUGUUGAAUAUAAUAAUAUAUAGAGAUAACAUGCAUAUAGAUAUUCGCAUUUAAAUAAAUAUCACCCAUUAUUAGAGUAGGUUUUAUAAGGAAAAUGCCAAAACUUCUACUGCUGGGGGUGUUUGAUUAUCCCUCUGCUUGGACUCACAACAUCGGAAAAGCAUGGAUGCCACCAUCAAGGCAAAUUAACUGAUGUGUCUACUGUAUGAGACUACAGCAGGCGGUCCUUUUGGCCAGUCAAAAAAGAAAAAUAAGGAUUUCAUUAUGCCGUUAAGCUGUAAACUCUUCCAGCACACCAAACACUAAUCCGCUUUUGGCGAUGACAUGGUUGGUCACCAACACCAGCAGGAAACUAGUGAUGAUACAAAGUCUGGUUACCAUUGGAAGGCUGCCCCCAGCCAGUGGCGACCACCAUUUCAUUUGCGCCGAUGUCAUAGGACGGCAGACUCACGGCACUGAUGUGGCCUAGUUUUCGUGAGUGAAGAAGUCAACACUGUGCUGGGUGAUCUGAGAUGGUUCUGCCUUGCUGAUGUUGUGAGCGCCCAUCACAACCUCCACGAAGCCAGCGCUGGAGCAGGGAUGGUUUAGCAACAGACAGACAGACACAUCAGAGGAAGAAUUUUUAAACACCGCCAGAGGUGAGGUCACACGACAAGAAACGAUCGUUUGCCUUGACCUAACUAGUCUAAAUUGAACCUGCCUUGGAGGGAUAGACAUGACGUUCCCCGCCUACCUCAAAGUCGGGAGCGGCCCGAACCCACUCAUCUCGCAUUCUUAAGUUCUAUAAAAAGUAUAGAAUAAAAAAAAAAAGAUAUGAUAAUAAUAGAGUAUCUGGUUCUGGGCCCAUACUUAUAAAGAAAUUGAGUCUUUGAAGUCGCAUUAUAACUAAUAUGUCGUUAUCCUAGUUUUUGUAUGGGAGUCAACAUCAAUAAAUCUUUUUCAUCCAAUAAUGUGAUUAGUCACUUCAACUUGAUGGGGAGUCAUAUGAAACCAGUUUCAGUUGACUGGGGAAUGCAAUCUAACUAGUUUCAAUUGACUGGGGAGUGUUUUAAAACUAGUUUCAAGAGACUCCGGGAGUCAUGUCUAGGGGGAGUAUCCUGAAACGUCUACACCGACCUCGAGUUUAGUGCGUUGUCCAUGAUGUGGGUUCGUAUCCGCCGCUAACCACCUGGGAUUUUUCAGUCACCGCCGAGUGACCUAAGACUACCCACAUGCUGUCCUGAAGACCACCUAUCAACCCGGACUAGAAGAAGCUGUACAGCGCAAGUGAAAUAAUUUUUUAUAUUUUUUUGUUAGUGAGUGAAGUGCAUUCCAAACCAUUCAGGCUAGGCCAAAGGUGACGCUUAACACUGUUUUUUUGUAAGGCAUAAGACGAGCUGCAAACAUUCGUGUGAGGCAAAGUGAUACACCGUUUCUCACAUUUCUCCUCGUCUGAUAUACUUACAAAAAGACU